GUGAGGAAUAUUGCGCAAUGGGCGAAAGCCUGACGCAGCGACGCCGCGUGGAGGAUGAAGGUCUUCGGAUUGUAAACUUCUGUUAAGUGGGAAGAAAGGGCUGCUUUUAAUAGAAGCAGUUAAUGACGGUACCAUUAAAGAAAGCACCGGCUAAACUCGUGCCAGCAGCCGCGGUAAUACGAGUGGUGCAAGCGUUAUUCGGAAUAAUUGGGCGUACAGGGUGUGUAGGCGGUAUGUUAAGUCUGUUGUUAAAGACUCCGGCCGAGCCGGAGACAGGCAUCGGAAACUGGCGUACUAGAGGGUGGAAGAGAGAAGUGGAAUUCUCGGUGUAGCGGUAAAAUGCGUAGAUAUCGAGAGGAACACCGAUGGCGAAGGCAGCUUCUUGGUCCAUACCUGACGCUGAAACACGAAAGCGUGGGGAGCAAACAGGAUUAGAAACCCCGGUAGUCC
rnacentral:rRNA from 1 species